AACGAACGCUGGCGGCAUGCCUAACACAUGCAAGUCGAACGAGACCUUCCUGUCUAGUUGCGCACCUCUGCGUGCCGCCGGGUAACCUGCCCUUAGGUUCGCAAUACCUCCCCGAAAGGGGUGCUAAUACCGGUUAAUGUCUUCGGAGCAAAGAUUUAUCGCCUUUGGAUGGGCCCGGGUUGGAUUAGCUGGUUGGUAGGGUAAAAGCCUACCAAGGCGACGUUCCAUAGCUGGUCGGAGAGGAUGGUUAGCCACACUGGGACUGCGACACGGCCCAGACUCGUACGGGAGGCAGCAGUGGGGAAUAUUGGACACUGGGCGAAAGUCUGAUCAAGCCAUGCCGCGUGAGUGAUGAAGGCGUUAGGGUUGUAAAGCUCUUUUACACGGGACGAUAAUGACAGUACUGGGAGAAUAAGCUCCGGCUAACUCCGUG
rnacentral:rRNA from 1 species